GGCUUCGUAUGGCUAAUUUGGUUCAGAAUCUUGGUGGGUUUCCUGAGAGCUCCACGAAUCGCGACGGAUCAAUGGAAGAAUCGACAGUGACGGAGCAGAGUGGCUGUGGGAGGAAGAGGAAGGAUGUGAGCUCCGAGGAUGAAUCUUCGAGAAUGGUUUCAACUAGUAGUGCUAAUCAAUUGAGUAACUCAAAUGGUAAACGGAUGAAAGUAGUGGAAUCCAGAGAUGAAAAUGGUGGUAUAAAAGCUGAAGUAGAACCUAGCUCAACAGAUGGC
rnacentral:misc_RNA from 1 species